GUCCUAUUGUUUAUUUAAUAGGUCUGGCCUGCCCAGUGAUAAUUUUUAACGGCCGCGGUAUAUUGACCGUGCAAAGGUAGCAUAAUCAUUAGUCUUUUAAUAGGAGGCUGGAAUGAAAGGUCUAACGAGAAAUUUACUGUCUCAAUUACAAACUUGAAUUUAUCUUUUGAGUCAAAAGACUUAAAUUUAAUUGGUGGACGAGAAGACCCUAUAGAGCUUAACAUUUUUUUUUCUAUUUUUACUUAGAUUUAUAUCAUUUAUUUAUAUUAAAAAAAUUGUUUUGUUGGGGAGACAAUCAAUAUAUAUUUAACUUUUAUCAUAAUAUAAACAUUAAUUUAUGAUUUUUGGAUCCAAAAUUUUUGAUCAUUAGUUCAAGUUACC
rnacentral:rRNA from 1 species